rnacentral:rRNA from 1 species
CCUACGGGUGGCAGCAGUGAGGAAUAUUGGUCAAUGGGCGCGAGCCUGAACCAGCCAAGUCGCGUGAGGGAAGACGGUCCUGUGGAUUGUAAACCUCUUUUGUCGGGGAGCAAAAGACGCCACGCGUGGCGUGCCGAGAGUACCCGAAGAAAAAGCAUCGGCUAACUCCGUGCCAGCAGCCGCGGUAAUACGGAGGAUGCGAGCGUUAUCCGGAUUUAUUGGGUUUAAAGGGUGCGCAGGCGGAAGAUCAAGUCAGCGGUAAAAUUGAGGGGCUCAACCCCUUCGAGCCGUUGAAACUGGUUUUCGUGAGUGAGUGAGAGGUAUGCGGAAUGCGUGGUGUAGCGGUGAAAUGCAUAGAUAUCGCGCAGAACCCCGAUUGCGAAGGCAGCAUACCGGCGCUCAACUGACGCUCAUGCACGAAAGUGUGGGUAUCGAACAGGAUUAGAUACCCCGGUAGUC